rnacentral:piRNA from 1 species
UGAGCAGUAACAUCCAGCAGGUGUGUGA